ACCUGGCUGGUUCAGUCAGUUGAGCAUCCGACUUCAGAUCAGGACAUGAUCUUAUGGUUCGCAGGUUAGAGCCCUGCAUCAGGUU
rnacentral:tRNA from 1 species